rnacentral:rRNA from 1 species
AACGAACGCUGGCGGCAUGCCUAACACAUGCAAGUCGAACGAGACCUUCGGGUCUAGUGGCGCACGGGUGCGUAACGCGUGGGAACCUGCCCUUAGGUUCGGAAUAACUCCCCGAAAGGGGUGCUAAUACCGGAUAAUGUCUUCGGACCAAAGAUUUAUCGCCUUUGGAUGGGCCCGCGUUGGAUUAGCUAGUUGGUAGGGUAAAAGCCUACCAAGGCGACGAUCCAUAGCUGGUCUGAGAGGAUGAUCAGCCACACUGGGACUGAGACACGGCCCAGACUCCUACGGGAAGCAGCAGUGGGGAAUAUUGGACAAUGGGCGAAAGCCUGAUCCAGCAAUGCCGCGUGAGUGAUGAAGGCCGUAGGGUUGUAAAGCUCUUUUACCCGGGAUGAUAAUGACAGUACCGGGAGAAUAAGAUCCGGCUAACUCCGUG